CCUACGGGUGGCAGCAGUCGAGAAUCAUUCACAAUGGGGGAAACCCUGAUGGUGCGACGCCGCGUGGGGGAAUGAAGGUCUUCGGAUUGUAAACCCCUGUCAUGUGGGAGCAAAUUAAAAAGAUAGUACCACAAGAGGAAGAGACGGCUAACUCUGUGCCAGCAGCCGCGGUAAUACAGAGGUCGCAAGCGGUGUUCGGAAUCACUGGGCGGAAAGCGUGCGUAGGCUGUUUCGUAAGUCGUGUGUGAAAGGCGCGGGCUCAACCCGCGGACGGCACCUGAGACUGGGAGACUAGAGUAAUGGAGGGGGAACCGGAAUUCUCGGUGUAGCAGUGAAAUGCGUAGAUAUCGAGAGGAACACUCGUGGCGAAGGCGGGUUCCUGGACAUUAACUGACGCUGAGGCACGAAGGCCAGGGGAGCGAAAGGGAUUAGAUACCCCUGUAGUC
rnacentral:rRNA from 1 species